rnacentral:rRNA from 1 species
AAUGAACGCUGGCGGCGCGCCUAACACAUGCAAGUCGAGCGAGAAAGCCUCUUCGGAGGUGAGUACAGCGGCGGACGGGUGAGUAACACGUGAGAAUUUGCCCUUUAGUGAAGAAUACCCCCGAGAAAUUGGGGGUUAAUACUGCAUAUCUCCCUUUGGGGAGAAAGGUGGCCUCUUUGCUGCCGCUAAAGGAUAAGCUUGCGGACUAUUAGCUUGUUGGUAGGGUAAAGGCCUACCAAGGCUUUGAUGGAUAGCCGGCCUGAGAGGGUGAACGGCCACACUGGAACUUAGACACGGUCCAGACUCCUACGGGAGGCAGCAGUGAGGAAUAUUGCGCAAUGGGCGAAAGCCUGACGCAGCGACGCCGCGUGGAGGAUGACGGUUUUCGGAUUGUAAACUCCUGUUAAGUGGGAAGAAAGCCUCGCUUUUAAUAGAAGCGAGGGAUGACGGUACCAUUAGAGAAAGCACCGGCUAACUUCGUG